UACGGGGGGAGCAAGCGUUGUUCGGAUUUACUGGGCGUAAAGAGCUCGUAGGCGGUUCGUCGCGUCGGCUGUGAAAUCCCGAGGCUCAACCUCGGGUCUGCAGUCGAUACGGGCGGACUGGAGUUCGGCAGGGGAGACUGGAAUUCCUGGUGUAGCGGUGAAAUGCGCAGAUAUCUGGAGGAACACCGGAUGGCGAAGGCGGCGUCCUGGACCAACACUAACACUGAGGAGCGAAAGCCAGGGGAGCAAACGGG
rnacentral:rRNA from 1 species